AUACGUAGGGUGCGAGCGUUGUCCGGAAUUACUGGGCGUAAAGAGCUCGUAGGUGGUUUGUCGCGUCGUCUGUGAAAUUCCGGGGCUUAACUCCGGGCGUGCAGGCGAUACGGGCAUAACUUGAGUACUGUAGGGGAGACUGGAAUUCCUGGUGUAGCGGUGAAAUGCUCAGAUAUCAGGAGGAACACCGGUGGCGAAGGCGGGUCGCUGGGCAGUAACUGACGCUGAGGAGCGAAAGCAUGGGUAGCGAACAGGAUUAGAUACCCUGGUAGUCCAUGCCGUAAACGGUGGGCGCUAGGUGUAGGGGUCUUCCACGACUUCUGUGCCGUAGCUAACGCAUUAAGCGCCCCGCCUGGGGAGUACGGCCGCAAGGCUAAAACUCAAAGGAAUUGACGGGG
rnacentral:rRNA from 1 species